GACACAGGAAAAUCAUGCAGAAUACCAUAAAUGAUUAUUCUGAUACCAAUUUACAGACAAUCUUACAGGAUACUGUCUUUACUUGAGCAACAUGUAUUGCUUCCCUGUGUUUCCUUUCCCAUUAUUGUUACCCAGUACCUAUUACAGAGGUCAAUGUCUUGACCCUGUUUGUGCCGAUAAAUAAAUUACAGGUGAUUCCUCUCUGAUGAUCUGCAUUGUAAAGGGCAACAAAGUUAUGCAAAACUCCAGAUACAUACAGAGACAACAAACACUUUAAGAAUCAAAACUGACUUUGAGGCUAGAAGUCACUCCACAUUAUCUGUCUGGUUACAUACUACCCAUUUAGCUCUACCAAAGGUUCCUUUCCUUUCACAGUAGUAAAGGAAAAGCAGAAUAGAAUCCAUCAUCUUCUGAAUGAACUUACAGCUUAGUCAUACAAACUGGAACCUUUAUUCUGAAUGCGGAGUAUUCUGUAUCAUUGGUGUAGAAUAGAAUAUUUUAUCCUAUACCAUAUUCACUGCCAGUAGUCUGGCAAAACUGCCAGUUCAGUUCCCUCACCACCUCUCAGCUGAGCUCAGGGAACCCUCUCACUUCCACUUGCAGGUGUAACUGUGAAAGAUAUGCCAAAGAGGCUAUUCCAAAUGUUCACUAGCCAGGGCAGGAAA